GUUUAAGAAAUUAAGUAGACAAAAAACCACAGGAACCCUUAAACCCUGCGAUAAAGAAGAAACCCUUGGAAGAAGGUAGUCAACCAUGUCGUCGGCGCCACCGAAUCCUCGUCCUCAGCCACCACAACAGAAAAGGGACCUCUUGUAUGACUGCGGAGGUUGUGGGGAGGAAGUCCCAUUGAGGCCCGGGGAUAAGAUUGAGUGCCCCCAUUGCAAUUACCCAGUUCUAUUCAAGAAACGAACCCGUCGCAUUGUGGAGUUUCAGGCACGUUGAAGGAGAGAAUUUUCAUGAUGUAUGAGCAUGGAAUUGGAUGUAACUUGAGAUUUAAUGUAUAGAAAACAAUGCUAUCAGCUUCUGCUUGGCUUUAAAUGUUUUCAGAUUGUUCAAUGUCUCUCUGUUCUUCUCUUUUCGUGGCUGUUGAACCAAUUGUUGCGAAACUAUGCUCAUAUACUUGAAACAUUGCUUCUGAAAAUGUUUUGAGAUUUACUGUUAGUUAUCUAUGGAUUCAAAUUUGCACAUGAGAUUAUACACACACAUUUGCAAAC